rnacentral:misc_RNA from 1 species
GAUGAAGAACGUAGUGAAAUGCGAUAAGUAAUGUGAAUUGCAGAAUUCAGUGAAUCAUCGAAUCUUUGAACGCACCUUGCGCCCUUUGGCCAUUCCGAAGGGCAUGUCUGUUUGAGUAUCAUGAACACCUCAACUCUUUAUGGUUUUCCAUGAUGAGCUUGGACUCUGGGGGUUUUGCUGGCUCACAGUCGGCUCCUCUAAAAUGAAUUAGCUUACCAGUGUUUGGUGGGUAUCAUGGGUGUGAUAACUAUCUACGCUUGUGGUUUUUCCACCAGGUAACCUUCAGCAGUGGAGGUUCGCUGGAGCUCAUAGAUGUCUCUCCUCGGUGAGGACAGCCCUUUGAACGUUUGAUCUCAAAUCAGGUAGGACUACCCGCUGAACUUAAGCAUAUCAAUAAGCGGAGGA